GACGAACGCUGGCGGCGUGCUUAACACAUGCAAGUCGAACGAUGACGGCCGAGCUUGCUCGGUCUGAUUAGUGGCGAACGGGUGAGUAACACGUGAGCAACCUGCCCUUCACUCUGGGAUAACCUCGGGAAAUCGGGGCUAAUACCGGAUAUGAGCUCCUGUCGCAUGGCGGGUGUUGGAAAGUUUUUCGGGGAAGGAUGGGCUCGCGGCCUAUCUGUUUGUUGGUGAGGUAGUGGCUCACCAAGGCGAUGACGGGUAGCCGGCCUGAGAGGGGGACCGGCCACACUGGGACUGAGACACGGCCCAGACUCCUACGGGAGGCAGCAGUGGGGAAUAUUGCACAAUGGGCGAAAGCCUGAUGCAGCGACGCCGCGUGGGGGAUGACGGCCUUCGGGUUGUAAACCUCUUUCAGCAGGGAAGAAGCGAAAGUGACGGUACCUGCAGAAGAAGCGCCGGCUAACUACGUG
rnacentral:rRNA from 1 species